CGUAGGGACCAAGCGUUGUUCGGAUUUACUGGGCGUAAAGGGUGCGUAGGCGGCGCGGUAAGUCGGGUGUGAAAUCUCGGAGCUUAACUCCGAAACUGCAUUCGAUACUGCCGUGCUUGAGGACUGGAGAGGAGACUGGAAUUUACGGUGUAGCGGUGAAAUGCGUAGAUAUCGUAAGGAAGACCAGUGGCGAAGGCGGGUCUCUGGACAGUUCCUGACGCUGAGGCACGAAGGUCAGGGGAGCAAACGGG
rnacentral:rRNA from 1 species